rnacentral:rRNA from 1 species
UAGGGAAUCUUCCGCAAUGGGCGAAAGCCUGACGGAGCAACGCCGCGUGAGUGAUGAAGGUCUUCGGAUCGUAAAACUCUGUUAUUAGGGAAGAACAAAUGUGUAAGUAACUAUGCACGUCUUGACGGUACCUAAUCAGAAAGUCACGGCUAACUACGUGCCAGCAGCCGCGGUAAUACGUAGGUGGCAAGCGUUAUCCGGAAUUAUUGGGCGUAAAGCGCGCGUAGGCGGUUUUUUAAGUCUGAUGUGAAAGCCCACGGCUCAACCGUGGAGGGUCAUUGGAAACUGGAAAACUUGAGUGCAGAAGAGGAAAGUGGAAUUCCAUGUGUAGCGGUGAAAUGCGCAGGGAUAUGGAGGAACACCAGUGGCGAAGGCGACUUUCUGGUCUGUAACUGACGCUGAUGUGCGAAAGCGUGGGGAUCAAACAGG